UUGCCACCGAUUUAGUUUUCCAUGUCCCGUUUUUUCCGCCUGCCUUCCUCUCGCCUAACGCACGCACCCUCCUAGCGCUAUCCCCGUGAUCUAGGGCGACGACAUCGGCGCCCCCCGUCCCCUCUCUCUCUCUCUCUCUCUCCCAUCUCGCGUUUCUGUCUCCAAUCUCCCGUCGGACGUCGGACGUACCUGCUUGCGCCUCCCCAUCACUCGCCAGCGACGACCCGAGGUCACCGACGCGGGGACCCAAGGAUUCGUUGCCGCCGUUCAGAGUUACUUCGUCGACGGCGUCAAUGGGGGCUUUGGCGAGAGCUCCUGGCCUUCCGCCGCCGCCGCCGGGUUCGUCCCCCAGGCUGACAUACUGCCGAUCGGAACGCCGUCGGAUCCUCUAUCGCCGGCCCACGGCCCAGUCCUCUGCUUCCUCUCAUAGUUCAUUUGUGCUGCAGGCACUUCACAGAUGAGAUUUUCUCAUGCUGUUCUCGCCUCCUCAUGUGGUGCCAUCUCACGUCGUGCAGCCUCCACAUUCGAAGUCACCAGGCAGGAAUCUGAAGUGCCAGUCUGUGCAUCGUGUUCUCACGCCAAGCCCAAGGUCGUCUUGCUGCCCUGUUGCAAGAAUUCCUACGUACAAUAUUAGUGUUCAUAUCAGUCUGACAUAUUCAUGUGUAUCUUUUCAGUAUCCAAAAUUAGGGAAUUCAAGUGAUACAUACAUUGUUUGGAAUUUCGUUGCUAUGCCAUGAUCGGUUCAAUUUAUCCAUCAUUUAAUGUUUUCAUUUUUUUGUUGUACAGUAGUUCCUUCUAUGGAAUUGUACUAACAAGAUUAUAUGCAGCUUCUUUAAUGUCCAGAUGCAAGUUGAGGAAUGAUUGUUCGUUUUACUCGAGAAGAACUAUUUCACAUGUUCAAGAACAACCGCAGGAGUAUAAUUUCAUAAGCCUUUGUACUGAAUUCAAGCAUACUCAUCGAUUAAUGUUAGAUAUGUAGUAUCCGGUGACGUAUAAAUUUACAUCGCCACACCAGCCAGCAAGAGCGGCAUCAACAGCAGUGUGUCGUAGAUUGACCUGGAGGUUGUCCCGAGGGGCACGACGCGGCCAGUGAAGAUGUAGCAGGUGAAGGAGGAGGGCGUGGAGACGAAGGUGGCGGCGUGUUAAAUGACAGAGGUGGACAACAUGAACAAUUGGUUUGAGAGGAGGUGGUCGUCGCAACGGCUCAACAAGAUUGAGCUCAGCCUGGGACCGAGGACGGAUGCCGCCGCGUAUUGCUAAAAUUUACAGGAAAUGCAGAAAAUAGAGUCACAGCAAGACACCCUGAAAAUAAAAGGCUUUAGAGUCUAAGGUAUAAUGACAGGGAAUAAGGUGUGGGAUCAUUUCCAAGAAAAUUAUAUUCCCUUUACAUGGGUGUGAACCAUAGAGCUUCUUGUUUUAUUUAAGGAUUUUGAUGCAGGGAUGUUCUGUCUUCCAUUCUAAUUUGCUGCUCCUCUUCUAAUCUAUGGGACUAUGAAAGGAGUUGCUUGCUUAUGUGCUUCUCUGAUGACGCUUUCAUAACAAGUUUUAUCACCAUUGUUGGGCAUGCACAUUGUUAGCAACAUUGUACAUGUUUCUCCAGGAAUCAUUUGCUUACUUAGUAAUAUUCCUAUUCAUAUUAUACGAUGAUAUGCUUUCCUUUUGUGAUCAUUGUUGUUGUUUGCGCGGGCUAGGUGUGGAUAACAUCGGGCUUUACCAAAUACAUUUGCCUGACCGGUCAGUACGAUAAAUUCAUUCCAUGCCGUAGGCUGCAACUGCCAGGUUUUUUUUGCUUGCAUCAUGUGCAUCCUCGAGUCCUAAUAUAACUCAUGCUUACCCUGCAGUUAUGUUCCCCUAUUUGGAGAGAUGGAAUACAAUCAAAGCUGCAAGUACGCGUUGUACAGAUAGAAGAACAAUUAGAGGCACUUGAAAAUCUUGUGUAAUUGGUAUUGCACUUUAGAAAUGUUCUCCCUUUGUCAGCUUUGAGCACUGCUACAUAGACGACAUCUUGGCGGCCGAUUUAUGCAUGACACAUGUUAGCAGCCAUCCAUCAGUUUGGCUUCAUGCAUUAGUGCCAUUGAUCACAGCUUCAUCUAGAAAUCGUCCGCCAAUGUGUCGCGUGCAUAGUGUUUUCAGUCAGCUUUUAUAAGACGUUAUAGGUCACAACUUAUAAAAGUUUACAGAUAGAGUAUGUUCUAUGCCUACAUCGAGGUCGGCGUAUGCAGCGAAGUUCGGUGCCAGGGAGGUUCUCCCCACGGCAGCAUUCACCUGGAAGUCAAGAGCGUCGUUACGCUGCCGCUUCUUUGCCUGGCUGGCCCUGCAGAACAGAUGCUGGACGUCCGAUAGGCUUGCUUGCAGUGGACUGGAACACCAUGAAGCUUGCCCGUUUUGUGACCAAGAAGAGGAGACCAUAAAUCACCUGCUCGUUGGGUGUGUUUUCGCGAGACAAGUCUGGACGGGAGUCUGCUAGCUUCCAAUCGAACGGAGUGGAUACCGAGAGCGGGCACAACACUUGAGGAGUGGUGCAACACAAAAACAGACACGGGGAUGGGUGCAAAGGACACUAAAGCCUUGUUGAUCCUUGGUAUGUGGGAGAUAUGGAAGCACCGAAAUGCAAUAGUCUUUGACGGAGCCACGCCUUCGAGCUCAUGUGCUAUGUAGGAUAGUCCUUGAGGGUAGAAUAUGGAAAAGAGUGAACCUUUUUAAGGGAGAUGUUGAGCCAAUCUUCUCGGCGGUAGAAAGGUGGGCGAGUGAGAGAAGUUAGACAUAGGAGUGUAACCCUUGUGUGGGUGGAGUUGGGGUUAUGUAACUUGUAAUCUCCGACGUGGAGGGGCUCUUUUUCCCAUCCUCUUCUUCAAUAUAUAUAGUAUGCACUCUCGUGUGUACUCGAGAAAAAAAUAUUCACCCUAAAACUUCUCUAAAGCUACUGAAUUUUCUCGUG